UUCGUGGAAAAGUACAAUGCCAUGGUUUGAAAAGCACUGACGUUCGUUCGUCUUCGGGUAAAUGCAGUUAGUGGAAGUGGCUGCGCUUGGCUGGUUCCGCUGGCUUUUGUUCUGUCCCGAGGCAUUCAUAUAUCUCUCUGUGGCAUUCAUUGAAUCUCAUUUCCGAGUUGGCUGAGCCUCAGACGUGAAGUUCUCUGACUUCCUUCCAAGCGGGGUUGAAAAGCUUCAUUCAUGACUGUUUUGAGGGACUUCAGAUACCGUUCACAGGAGUGACAACAGGCUCAGGCUCUGAGCUCUUCCCUGCUUGCAGUGCUGCUGCAGUGGUUUAAGUGAAGUGGUGGGGGGAGAGGGGCUGUGUCAGAGAAUGCCACUAAGUGCACAGUGUCAAGAAAGUGUACUGUGGGAAAUGGGUCGCUCUUAGAUGUCCCCACGUGAACAAGUUUGGGAUUGAGAGGCAACCAGCAACCACAAGAAAGGCUCACAUAAGGUUGUAGUUAGUACAGGAAUGGUUAACAGCAGGCCUUCGCCAGUCCUUAAUGGCAGCCCAAGGACAAAGGGUCCGAGCUGCAGGAUUUGAAGCAGUGUGAGUCACAAAGCUACGGACUUAGAAUAGGGAGCUCUGGGGUCCAAGUCAGCUCUGUUACCAGUCAGCUUUAUGAACAGAGGCAAUACACGCCACCUCUCUGGGCCCUCUUUCCUCCCUGUCUCUCUUUAAUUCUAUGUGUGUGAGUUCACAUGCAUGCAGCACUGUCGAGGUCAGAAGAAGGUGUCAGAGCUUCGGGAACGGAAGUUUCAAAUGGUUGUUAGCCACCCAGUGGGUCCUGGGAACUGAACCCAGGUCCUCCAUAAGCUGAUCUCCUUCCUUUUCCCAAGUAAUACCCCUUCCACUGUGUGUGUGUGUGUGUGAGAGAGAGUGUGUGUGAGAGUGUGUAUAAGUGUGUGUGAGAGUGUGUGUGUGAGUGUGUGUGAGAGUAUGUAUAAGUGUGUGAGAGUGUGUGUGUGUGAGUGUGUGUGAGAGUAUGUAUAAGUGUGUGUGAGAGUGUGUGUGAGUGUGUGUGUGUGUGAAUGUGUGUGAGAGUGUGUGUAAGUGUGUGUGAGUGUGUGUGUGAGUGUGUGAAAGAGUAUUGUGAGAGUGUGUAUAAGUGUGUGUGAGAGUGAGUGUGUGUGUGUGUGUGUGUGUGUGAGAGAGAGAGAGAGAGAGUGUGUGUGUACUGGUAUGUGUAUGAGUGUGUGUGUGUGAGUGUGUGAGUAUGUGAGUGUGUGUGUGUGUGAGAGAGAGAGUGUGUGUGUGUGUACUGGUGUGUGUAUGAGUGUGUGUGUGAGAGUGUGUAUAAGUGUGUGUGAGAGUGUGUGUGUGUGAGCCUGUGUGUGUGUGUGUGUACUGGUGUGUGUACGAGUGUGUGUGAGAGAGUGUGUGAGAGUGUGUGUGUGUGAGUGUAUGUGUGAGUAUGUGUGUGUGUGUCCCAGUGAGUUGCUUUCAGGAGCGUGGAUGACAGAUUAACAACGAAGCACCUAGGGCGAAUCAUCAAUCAAGGAAUUGAAUCUGCAUUGUGUGGCAGAGCUGUUAUCUCAUGCUUGGACGACCACAUCUGGAUUUCUCACAGGGUGAUGGAUGUGGCUCUAACUUCAUACUUCUGAAUGUCGACAUCCAUUUCCCAAGCAACUUUUGUUGAAGACACUGUGUUUUGCUCCGCAUGGUUUUUGACUUUGUCAGUUGUCAGAAGGCUCUAAUCAUUCACCUUUUGAGAAGUCUGAUUUCCCGAGCAAAAUGAGUCAGCCAGGAUCUUUCUAACUUGAAAAUGUAAUAACCUUUUUUGGUUUGUCUGCACUCUUGUCUCCUCCACUAGAUGGCGAUGUUCUCAAGGGCAGAGAGGACGAUCCGUUUGCCUCUAGGAAGUUCAUUCCUUUUACACACGUAAACAAACAAAACAAAACCUACUAGGCACUAGGACCUUAUGACUAACCACAUGACUCAUUUCCAGCACACGCGUGUGCGCGCGUGCACACACACACAUUUGGGUGGUGUGGGAGGUGCAGUCAGACAGACAGGAAUACACCUGUCUUAGUUGCUUAUCAGGCCUGGGCUGUAGCUCAGUUGGUAGAGUGCUCCCCUAGCUCAACCCCAUAAAGCUGGCAUGGUUACAACACACCUGUCUCAGCACUCAGGACUUGGAGUCAAGAGGAUCAGAAGUUCAAAGCCAUCCCUGACUACAUAUUGGAUUUGAGAUCAAAGUAGAAGAAUAUAUAUUUUCUUCCCCCAAACAGCCAGCAAUCUUACAAACUUCAGGGAAGAGUUCAUUAAAAACGAUUCUAGGCGCUGGUGAGAUGAAUCUGUCAGUGAGUAAGGAUGGUUGCCGCCAAGCUCAAGGACAUGAACUGAAUCCCGGUACCCGCAUGCUGAAAGGAGAAAAAGGGGGUAAGAGGGGAGGAAGAAAGAGAGAGGUCGCGGGAGAAGGCCAAGGAGCAAGCCACAUGCUUCAAAGUCACUUCACCCCACAUCGCGCCCUACUUCCGCUUCCUACAGUUAACGCUACCUCUAGGAGCGCCCAUCGGCUGGGGACCAAGCUUUCAUCCCAGGUGACUUUGGGAGCAUUCCAGGUGCAAACUAUAACUGACUCCUUAAGGUCGGGAAUUUAAGCUUAAAUUACAGCACUAUGUUGUGACUAGUUGCUAUCUAUGACUUAUAUCUUAACUGUCCCCAACACAACAGUGUCCAGCGGCUGGUCUUUGGGAGGUGAUUGUGUCCCAGAGAGCUCUAACAUCAUAAAUAGACUAAUCCAUCGGUAGAUUAAUAACUUAAUGGCCUAUAGCUUUUUCUCCAGCCUCUUUCCAGGCGUCAUGAGGUGUGAGCUUCUACACCUGGCUUUGUGUCUUUUCUUUUCUUUCUUUCUACAUCAUAUCCCCACUCCCCACUCCCGGAUUUUCAAGACAGAGUGUCUGUGUGUAGACCUGGCUGUCCAGGAACUCGCCGCUGCCUGCCUCUGCCUCCCGAGUGCACCACCACCACCCGGCUGUGUUUUCUUCGUCCAUAGCUUUCAUCUGUGUCUUCAAUGACUUUUAGCUGCACCUGACAUUUAUUUUAAUGCCAAACCGGUCCUGUUCAGAACAGUCUUUAAUUCCUGGUCUCCUCACUAAGCUUUAUUCUUAGCGCAAAAUAGCCACGAAUGACGGACGGACCUAGCUGCUGUUUGAAAGGGAAAAGGUUAACUGUUGUGCUCAAAGACUCGGUGCCGAGGGAUUCUGUGAAUAACAGCUGUUAAUGUUUAAAGUUACUUCCAUUUAUGAUAACACAGAAUGAAUAUGGGUUUUAUGUGCAGGAAGGAACCAUCACAGUUCACUUUUUGAAAUCUUGUGAAACCACGCUAGUAACCCGCUAAACCACAGCCCAGCAGUGGCUGCCGCUGCGCAGCACCGUUCUGCCUGUCUGCUCCCUCUCUCCCGCUUCACCUUUGCACACUAAUUAUAUACUUUAUGUUUACCUGACAUUAUGCAAUUUGUAGGCUUAGCAGAGCUUAGCCAUUCUAGGUAAGCCUCAUUCUCUAGAAUAAACUUUCCCCUUGGAGAAAAAUAUUUUUGUUGUUAUGAUAAAAAAAAAAGCUCCAUAAACUGGCAAAAAUCUAUUUUGAGAUUUUUUUUCCAAAGAAAUUAAAUUUCAAAAUUGCUGAGAUGUUAAGUAAUGAAUAAAAUAAAGGGAUUAAUAAUUCAUUCGUGUAUUAAUAAAUAUUUCAGCACUAAAUGGAGCCCUGGUAAAUGCACAUUAAUAUCUUAGUAAGUGAAAUUCUUUGAAUGUUUUCUAUAUUUUAAUUUAAUGUAUUUAGUAUUGACCAUGGAUCUAUAGAAAGGAGGUUUAACAAAAGUCACUAAUAAAUAUGAAAAGGAAACUUUGAGUGGUUUGAAUAAAUGAACAUGGUCACAGUGUAAGACAUUUGAAGGCAAGGAUAGCUACCAAUCACAUCCUCAAUGCGAGUGCUUUUUACUAAUCAGGAUUCUUCUUCCUUGAGAUUUGCUAAGAAGCAUUCCGAAUCAGUGCUGUUCCAAUGGAGUUGUAGCUUCUCAGUAGAUGUGUCUUCAAAUGUAUGCUUUCAACUAAUUCUAAUUUCACUAUUUAAAUAUUAGCCAUAACUUUGGGGACUGUGCGCACGCGUGUGUGUAUUGGUGGUUAUGUAUGUGUGUAUGUGCCUUUUUAUGUGUUUAUAUUUUGCUUAUUGGUGUUUUGAAUUUUUUAAAACAAUUAUUCAUUGUGCAGCUGUGUGUGCACACACAUGUGCCAGGGUUUGCUUGGAGGUCGGAGGACAGACACCUUGUGGGAGUUGCCUAUCACCACGUGGAUCCAGACAUGGCUUGGUCUCAGGCACCUCUAGUCUUUGGGCUAUCUUGCUGGCAAUUUAGUUUUCUUUGACAAAGGAUCUCACUAUGCAGCCCAGGCUCGCCUUGAACUCACAAUCCUCCUGCUCAAGCCUCCAGAGUGUUAGGAUAAUGAGCCAGCAUGUGGCAGCAGUACAUCUUGCCUUUAUUGUGCAAACUAAAACCAUAUUGGAACAGAGGCCCGAGGUCACACCCUGCUCAGUUGUGGCUCUAGUGAUGUCACACCGAGGACCUGUAACCUUCUGCUUUAUGCGUACACUGCAGAAGAUGGCCUCUGGAAAGUGUCAUGUAGCACCAUUGUCAUUUUUGUACCAAUAACACUGUUCUUUCCUCACACUGUACAUGUUAGUGUUACUCAGGUCGGUUGUGGGGACCAGAAACACCCUGAACACUGCUAAUGUCCCUCCGGGGCACAAGGUCACCUCCCAAGGGCCACCAGCUCUAUAAUAAUGUUUUCUACAAGGAUCUUGAACUUAAGAGACCUAAAGUAGAAAAGUCCCAAGAAUCAAUACUUCAUUCAUUCAUUUACUUACUAACUCAUCCAUCCAUUGUCUUACUCAUUCAUUCAUCAAUCCCAGAUCAUUCACUCAUUCACCACACCUUCAAAAUACUCUUUGGGCCGGGUGUGGUUGUACAUGACUUUAAUAUCAGCAUUUGGGAGGCAGAGGCAGGCGGAUCUCUGUGAUCUAUAGCCUGGUCUACGUAGCGAGUUUCAAGAGACCCAGGGCCACUUUGAGAGAUGCAAUCUUAAAAAAAGAAAAAAAAAACUCUAGGAUCUCAUGGACUCAUUCACCCAGGCACAAAUAUUCACAUACACCCAUAUGGACACACCUUUAAUCCCAGCACGUGGGAGGCAGAGGCAGGAGGAGUUCUGAGUUCGAGGCCAGCCUGGUCUACAGAGUGAGAUCCAGGACAGCCAGGGCUACACAGAGAAACCCUGCCUCGAAGGAAAAAAAAAAAAAAAAAAAAAGGAAACACAUUCAUCUCAUUAGUAUGCAAAUUGGCUUUAAUCUUUAAUAAUUGAUAAAAUUAAAUGUCUAUCGAAGAGUUGUUUCAAAGAAAAGUUUUAAAUUUAUUUUUUGAAAAUUCCAUACAUAAGUACUGCGUUUACAUUAUAUCUGCUCCACUCUCCCCCCGCUCCCAUCUCCAACUUCUCCUCUACCCACGCCCACUCCCUCAGUCUCAUGCUUCAGGAUAUAUAUGAUCUCUAAGCUUCCUGCUCCUGCCGCCACGCCUGCCACUUGCUGCUGUGUCUCCCUGAGAAAAUGGUCUCUUCUUUCUUUCUCUCUUCCUUCAUUUGCUUUUGGUCUUGAUGCGUUACCACAGUAACAGAAAAGUCACCACUAUAUUCUAUAUCGCAAAACACCGUAGACAGCAUCUAAGGACAGACACCAAAGAUUGUCUUCUGGUGCCUGUGCGUGUGCACCAUGUGCGUGCACAUAAAUACGCACACGCAUCGAAUGUAGGUGCUCGGAGUCCUUCAGUACCAAAUAUUCAGCCAAGAUUUCAUUCUUUAUAUGAAAAUAAACAGUCAUCUCAUUGGUAUGCAAAUGUGCUUUAAUCAUUGACAGAUGUUAAAACUACACGCCUAUCAAAUUAUUCCUAAGUAAUGUUUUUAAUUUACUUUUUAAGAAUUUUGUUCAUGAGUACUGUGCUUACAUCAUCUCUGCCCUGCCUCUCCAACUUCUUCUGUAUCUACUCCCCCUCCCUCUCAAGUUUAUGACUUCGUUUUCUAUAAUUAUUAUUGUUAGACACACACACACACACACACACACACACACGCAUGCACACAUAGCGUUGCUGCUAUGCAUGUGUGUUUAGGGCUGGUCCCUGGGAUUGGGUAACUCCCUAGAGGUUCAUGCCUGGAGAAAACUGAUUCUCUCUUUCAACAUCCAUUGACUCGAUCACCUGUACAUCAUAAUCUGGGGGCGGGGCCAGGUAUUUUCCCAAUCUUAUUGGAAAGUUGACUGGUGUUGUCGUUACAUCUUGUUUAGGUGACCAUGCAGUCAAGAUUCCUGGUAGCAGCAUCCCUGCCAUGUCUAGAAGAUACUAUCUCACGGCAGAUAUUUUGGUCUUCUGUCUUGACAGGAGUUCUAGGCUGUUGUCCACACCGUUUCCCGAGCUGUAGGCCUUGGGGUUAUGUUGUUCAAGGGCUGAUCAGGGCUGAGCAUCCCCGUCACGUGUUCUCCACAUACAUUUUGACCAGUUGGAUAACUCUGCAGUGGCUCUAAAUGAAUUUCUUCGUGAAUUAUUAUCAGUAGAUGUUUGAUUAGCUUGCCUAUUUUAUAUGCUGCACACCAGGAUUAUGCAUACUUUUUUUU